rnacentral:ncRNA from 1 species
CGCCGGGAUGCGGUUGGCCACGACCCAACCCCCUUAAAGAACUUGGGUAAAGAACCAACCGCCUCCCUCCUCCCGCCCGUUGUCCCCUGCGGACCCCGGCGAAACAUGAUUCAUUCACUCUCAGGAGUGACUCGGUUGCGGUGAGUGGCUGCGGAGAGUUACGUUCCCGGAAACAACCCACAAAAACGACGGCCCCCGCCAGGACUGCAAUCCUGUACGAGGGCCUGACCGUUCAGGAAGAGAACGACUUCCCC